GAUGAACGCUGGCGGCGUGCCUAAUACAUGCAAGUCGAGCGAACAGAUGAGGAGCUUGCUCCUCUGACGUUAGCGGCGGACGGGUGAGUAACACGUGGAUAACCUACCUAUAAGACUGGGAUAACUUCGGGAAACCAGAGCUAAUACCAGAUCAUAUAUUGAACCGCAUGGUGCAAUAGUGAAAGACGGUUUUGCUGUCUCUUAUAGAUGGAUCCGCGCCGCAUUAGCGAGUUGGUAAGGUAACGGCUUACCAAGGCAACGAUGCGUAGCCGACCUGAGAGGGUGAUCGGCCACACUGGAACUGAGACACGGUCCAGACUCCUACGGGAGGCAGCAGUAGGGAAUCUUCCGCAAUGGGCGAAAGCCUGACGCAGCAACGCCGCGUGAGUGAUGAAGGUCUUCGGAUCGUAAAACUCUGUUAUUAGGGAAGAAAAAAUGUGUAAGUAACUAUGCACGUCUUGACGGUACCUAAUCAGAAAGCCACGGCUAACUACGUG
rnacentral:rRNA from 1 species